AUGCGGAUCUUAUGGAGAAAGAAAAGGUUGCAAGGACUAAUGUUGUGCUGGCCCAGGAAGCUACUCUUCUUUCUUGGCUCAAAAAGCCAAGCUUCUUGGAUUAAAUUUGGUGAUAGUAACUCUGCCUUGUUCCAUGCUAGUAUCAGGCAACAGAUUAACUCCAACAUAAUUUACUUCAUCACCUCCACUAUAGGUGACUGGCUCAGUAAUCCUCAAGAUGUGAUUAAGGAAUUCAUCACCUAUUACAAAGAUCUUCUUGGGACUGUCGUAUAG